UACGGUAGGGUGCAAGCGUUAAUCGGAAUAGCUGGGCGUAAAGCGUGCGCAGGCGGUGAUGUAAGACAGUUGUGAAAUCCCCGGGCUCAAUCUGGGAACUGCAUCUGUGACUGCAUCGCUGGAGUACGGCGAGAGGGGAGUGGAAUUCCGCGUGUAGCAGUGAAAUCGCGUAGAUAUGCGGAGGAACACCGAUGGCGAAGGCAAUCCCCUGGGCCUGUACUGACGCUCGAGUGCA
rnacentral:rRNA from 1 species